rnacentral:rRNA from 1 species
CGGAUUCUGGCUCAGGAUGAACGCUAGCACAGGCUUAACACAUGCAAGUCGAGGGGCAGCAUGAAGUUGCUUGCAAACUUGAUGGCGACCGGCGCACGGGUGAGUAACGCGUAUCCAACCUUCCCCUACUAGGGAAUAGCCCGGCGAAAGUCGGAUUAAUGCCCUAUGUUCUCCUUUGCGGGCAUCUAACGAGGAGCAAAGAUUCAUCGGUAAGGGAUGGGGAUGCGUCUGAUUAGCCAGUUGGCGGGGUAACGGCCCACCAAGGCGACGAUCAGUAGGGGUUCUGAGAGGAAGGUCCCCCACAUUGGUACUGAGACACGGACCAAACUCCUACGGGAGGCAGCAGUGAGGAAUAUUGGUCAAUGGACGAGAGUCUGAACCAGCCAAGUAGCGUGCAGGAAUGACUGCCCUAUGGGUUGUAAACUGCUUUUAUGCGGGAAUAAAGUCAGGUACGCGUACCUGUUUGUAUGUACCGCAUGAAUAAGGACCGGCUAAUUCCGUGCCAGCCGCAGC